CCUACGGGUGGCAGCAGUCGAGAAUCAUUCACAAUGGGGGAAACCCUGAUGGUGCGACGCCGCGUGGGGGAAUGAAGGUCUUCGGAUUGUAAACCCCUGUCAUGUGGGAGCAAAUUAAAAAGAUAGUACCCCAAGAGGAAGAGACGGCUAACUCUGUGCCAGCAGCCGCGGUAAUACAGAGGUCUCAAGCGUUGUUCGGAAUCAUUGGGCGUAAAGCGUGCGUAGGCGGUUUCGUAAGUCGUGUGUGAAAGGCGCGGGCUCAACCCGCGGACGGCACAUGAUACUGCGAGACUAGAGUAAUGGAGGGGGAACCGGAAUUCUCGGUGUAGCAGUGAAAUGCGUAGAUAUCGAGAGGAACACUCGUGGCGAAGGCGGGUUCCUGGACAUUAACUGACGCUGAGGCACGAAGGCCAGGGGAGCGAAAGGGAUUAGAUACCCGAGUAGUC
rnacentral:rRNA from 1 species